rnacentral:misc_RNA from 1 species
GAAAUGCGAUAAGUAAUGUGAAUUGCAGAAUUCAGUGAAUCAUCGAAUCUUUGAACGCACCUUGCGCUCCUUGGUAUUCCUUGGAGCAUGCCUGUUUGAGUAUCAUGAAAUCUUCAAAGUAAAUCUUUUGUUAACUCAAUUGGUUUCUACUUUGGUAUUGGAGGUCUUUGCAGCUUCACACCUGCUCCUCUUUGUUCAUUAGCUGGAUCUCAGUGUUAUGCUUGGUUCCACUCGGCGUGAUAAGUUAUCUAUCGCUGAGGACAGUGUAAAAGGUGGCCAAGGUAAAUGCAGAUGAACCGCUUCUAAUAGUCCAUUGACUUGGACAAUACUUUUAUGAUCUGAUCUCAAAUCAGGUAGGACUACCCGCUGAACUUAAGC